GACAGAGGUGCCGAGCGUUAGGCGGAAUCACUGGGCUUAAAGCGUGUGUAGGCGGGCCGUUAAGUAUCUUGUGAAAUCCCCCGGCUCAACCGGGGAAUGGCUGGAUAUACUGGCGGUCUUGAGCGAUCUAGGGGCAGAUGGAACAAGUGGUGGAGCGGUGAAAUGCGUAGAUAUCGCUCGGAAGGCCAACGGCGAAGGCAGGUUACUGGUACGCAACUGACGCUGAGGCACGAAAGCGUGGGGAGCAAACAGG
rnacentral:rRNA from 1 species